GACGAACGCUGGCGGCGUGCUUAACACAUGCAAGUCGAACGAUGAUGCCCAGCUUGCUGGGCGGAUUAGUGGCGAACGGGUGAGUAACACGUGGGUGAUCUGCCCUGCACUUCGGGAUAAGCCUGGGAAACUGGGUCUAAUACCGGAUAUGACCACAGGAUGCAUGUUUUGUGGUGGAAAGGUUUACUGGUGCAGGAUGAGCCCGCGGCCUAUCAGCUUGUUGGUGGGGUAAUGGCCUACCAAGGCGACGACGGGUAGCCGGCCUGAGAGGGCGACCGGCCACACUGGGACUGAGACACGGCCCAGACUCCUACGGGUGGCUG
rnacentral:rRNA from 1 species